rnacentral:rRNA from 1 species
AUUGAACGCUGGCGGCAGGCCUAACACAUGCAAGUCGAACGAGUGGCGGACGGGUGAAUAAUGUCUGGGAAACUGCCCGAUGGAGGGGGAUAACUAAUGGAAACGGUAGCUAAUACCGCAUACCAUCGGAUGUGCCCAGAUGGGAUUAGCUACUAGGUGGGGUAAAGGCUCACCUAGGCGACGAUCCCUAGCUGGUCUGAGAGGGUGCCCAGCCACACGGGAACUGAGACACGGUCCAGACUCCUACGGGAGGCAGAAGUGGGGAGUAUUGCACAAGGGGCGCAAGGCGGAUUCAGCCAUGCCGAGUGUAUGAAGAAGGCCUUCGGGUUGUAAAGUACUUUCAGCGGGGAGGCGUUACUCGCAGAAGAAGCACCGGCUAACUCCGUGCCAGCAGCCGCGGUAAUUC